UCUAGACAGAUUUUAUAUGUAAUCAAUAACAACAAAAGUGAAGUUAUCGUAUUUCACGUAUGAUUGUGAAGUGUCUAGUGAAGAUUUUUUAUGUGUUUUUUGUGAACCCUAGGCUUAUCUGGAAACCAAAACAGACCUCUUGAUUCAUACAAAUAAAUAAAAAAUAAUAAAUGCUAGUUGGUGGCAACAAAACCUUGAAAUAUCAAAUAUAAACAUUGUCACUAAAUGAGUCUUUAUAAACUUGAAAUAGGUUCGAAAUCUCUUUGAUAUCUCGCACAAAAUAUUCCACUGCGGUAUCCUUUCAGGCGUGAAAAACAUUUUUCCAAGGUGUUUCUUAUUUGAAUGGAAGUGAGAAUGAAAACAAGUUCCGAAGAUGGAAAUGGAUAGAAGCAGUUGUCGAGUGAAUUAUGGUUAUCCAAUACUACAGUUUGAAACUAUUUUCUUAACUGAAUUGAAAUUUCAAAAAGAAUUUGAAAGGUUUCACAUUAUGUUAUCGAUUCUUUCAGGGAUUUCAAAUCAAUUUGUAUUAGACAACGGAAGUAUGAACUAAUGAAAUGCACUAUGAAACAUUGUCAACCACCUUCAAACUAUUCUCAUACCUACCGAAUAUACACAAGAAGUUUCAUAAAAUUUGAUCGAGCCGUUUCGGAGAAGUGCGACCACAAACACAGUUACACAAGUUUUUUACAUAUUAGAAGAUCACAUUGAAGACGACUUCAUUCAAAACAUUCACUAGAGAACUAGUUGAAUCUCCCAAUUCUGAAUUUUAGAGACUUCAUUGCUUAGAAAAUUUUUAACAUAUUUGAAAUUUAAGAAGAUGUAAAUACAUAUAGUAUUAAAAUUACUGGAACCGAAA